GAGUUGGUUGUCGCUGGCCCGCCCAAGCAAAGGGGGGCAAUGUGCACGCCUUCUCUUUUCAUCCACACACACCUGUGCACUUGUGAGACGGAGGAUUGAAAAAUGUCCUCCGUCUACUAAUUACUACACAAACUCAAUUGUACUUGAACUGAAUGUAAUUGAUGUAACACAUCAUUGGAAACAAAGUUUCAACAACGGAUCUCUUGGCUCUCGCAUCGAUGAAGAACGCAGCGAAAUGCGAUAAGUAAUGUGAAUUGCAGAAUUCAGUGAAUCAUCGAAUCUUUGAACGCACCUUGCGCUCCUUGGUAUUCCUUGGAGCAUGCCUGUUUGAGUAUCAUGAGCAAAUCUCAAAGUCGAUCCUUUUUUGUUAAUUCAAUUGGGUUUGCUUUGGACUUGGAGGCCUUGCAGAUUUAACCGUCUGCUCCUCUUAAAUGCAUUAGCUGGAUCUCAGUAUUAUGCUUGGUUCCACUCGGCGUGAUAAGUAUCACUCGCUGAGGACACUGGUAAAAAAGGUGGCCAGGAAAAUACUGAUUGAACCGCUUCUAACGGUCUAUUAACUUAGACAAUUACCCCCUUAAGUUUGAUCUCAAAUCAGGUAGGACUACCCGCUGAACUUAAGCAUAUCUCAUAAGCGGAGGAAAAGAAACUAACAAGGAUUCCCCUAGUAACGGCGAGUGAAGCGGGAAGAGCUCAAAUUUAAAAUCUGACGGUGUAUUCCGUCCGAGUUGUAGCCUAGAGAAGCAUCAUCCGCGCUGGACCGUGUACAAA
rnacentral:rRNA from 1 species